rnacentral:rRNA from 1 species
GACAGGGGAUGCAAGCGUUACUCGGAAUUACUGGGCGUAAAGCGUCUGUAGGUGUCUGAAAAAGUCUGGGGUAAAAGUUCGGAGCUCAACUCCGUGAUCGUCCCGGAAACUCUUCAGAUUGAGUUAUCCAGAGGCACCUGGAAUGCCAUAAGUAGGGGUAAAAUCCGUAGAUAUAUGGUAGAACGCCAAAAGCGAAGGCAGGGUGCUGGGGAUACACUGACACUGAGAGACGAAAGCGUGGGGAGCAAAG